UACGAAGGGGGCUAGCGUUGCUCGGAUUGACUGGGCGUAAAGGGCGCGUAGGCGGUUCGUACAGUCAGACGUGAAAUUCCUGGGCUCAACCUGGGGGCUGCGUUUGAUACGUGCGGACUUGAGUGCGGAAGAGGGUCGUGGAAUUCCCAGUGUAGAGGUGAAAUUCGUAGAUAUUGGGAAGAACACCGGUGGCGAAGGCGGCGACCUGGUCCGAUACUGACGCUGAGGCGCGAAAGCGUGGGGAGCAAACAGGAUUAGAUACCCUGGUAGUCCACGCCGUAAACGAUGUGCGCUGGAUGUUGGGUGACAUAGUCACUCAGUGUCGUAGCAAACGCGAUAAGCGCACCGCCUGGGGAGUACGGCCGCAAGGUUGAA
rnacentral:rRNA from 1 species